UCAACGGAGAGUUUGAUCCUGGCUCAGGACGAACGCUGGCGGCGUGCUUAACACAUGCAAGUCGAACGGUAGUAUUUUCUUCGGAGAAUAUGAGAGUGGCGAACGGGUGAGUAACACGUGAGCAACCUACCCCUGACACUGGGAUAACAGUUGGAAACAGCUGCUAAUACCGGAUAUACAGUCGAGAAGGCAUCUUCUCUUCUGGAAAGCUCCGACGGUCAGGGAUGGGCUCGCGGCCUAUCAGCUUGUUGGUGAGGUAACGGCUCACCAAGGCUUCGACGGGUAGCCGGCCUGAGAGGGCGACCGGCCACACUGGGACUGAGAUACGGCCCAGACUCCUACGGGAGGCAGCAGUGGGGAAUAUUGCACAAUGGGCGCAAGCCUGAUGCAGCAACGCCGCGUGCGGGAUGACGGCCUUCGGGUUGUAAACCGCUUUCA
rnacentral:rRNA from 1 species